AUUGCUACAAUUAAUGAUGUAUAUUAUAAUGGUAUUAAAUAUUUGCUAACUAUUAUUGAAUUAAAAUAUCUAAAAACGUACUUACUUAACUUCUUUAAUAAAAAACACUUCAACUACCUUUCUUUGCUUAUACGCCACCGCUCGAAGACUGAGCCUGUAACUUCAAUACACGUUCGCAUCGACAGGCCCGAUCGAGGAGAGCAACGGCGAUACCAGCGUCGAGGCCAGGCGUGAAAACGGCUAAACUUAAUGGGCCCUCCCAUCUCCGAGCUAAUUCCACGAUUCCAUAGACCUGAUCUGCAGUGGCGUGCGUGCAAAAGGUCACCUGAGGCAGUUUGUUCCUCUCCUCGGUUCCGCGCAAUACAAACGGUAGAACUCUGUAGGGACUCUUCUCACCGAUUUCAGGGCUCCAGGUGACUUUGGAUGCAGGAUACGAAAGUGCAUUUGGUAGAUCAUGGUACCAUUUACAAAAACUUCUAUUCCCAGGAUGUAGACCUGCCAUGUACAUGCCUGCUGAGAAAGCAGGUGCUCCAAUUUGGAUGUUUUGUUGAGAAUUUAAAUGACUUUUUGAUAUUAAAAUAUCAGUAAUAGUUAAUAUUGAUAAAUAUAAUUCACGACUAAUUAAGAGAUGACUAAUCAGAACAAAAAGGAACAUUAAAAUGAUCCAGAUUAGGAACUUUCGACUGGAACAACGCAUUAUUAUCAAAGAAACAAUUUUCCAUGUUCUUCAACGUGAUAAAUUCAUCGAACUAUUAUGUACAUACUUGGACAAUACUGUUCCAUUUACGGAAAGACGAGACCGUCAAUUUCGGAUCGAUACGGCGCAGGCGUGCCUACCUUUCGUAUAAUUCGUCAGAAUUUAAACUUAUAAAAACAAAAACUUCAGCUUCAAUUAGAAAAAAAUAAUUAAAUUCAUAUUUUUAGUAAUUAUUAACUAAAUUAGACUAGAAAAAAAAUAAAUUCUCGAAAAAAAAAUUUUUUAAUAUUUAAUAAAAACAUUUUUUUAUUCUAAAAUAAAAAUAUAAAAUUUAUAAAAAUGUUAUUUUUUAAAUUAAAUUAUUUUAUAUAAUGUAAUGUAAAAAUAAGUAUUAUAUAUAUAUUAUCAUAUAUAUUAUAUAUGUAAAAUUGUAUGCAAUAAAAUUUGAUAAAUAUAAAAAAA